rnacentral:rRNA from 1 species
GACGAACGCUGGCGGCGUGCCUAACACAUGCAAGUCGAGCGAGGGACUUCGGUCCCUAGCGGCGGACGGGUGAGUAACACGUGGGUAACCUGCCUCAUAGUGGGGGAUAGCCUUCCGAAAGGAAGAUUAAUACCGCAUAUACUCUCGAUACCGCAUGGUAUUUAGAGGAAAGGAGCAAUCCGCUAUGAGAUGGACCCGCGGCGCAUUAGCUAGUUGGUGAGGUAAUGGCUCACCAAGGCGACGAUGCGUAGCCGACCUGAGAGGGUGAUCGGCCACAUUGGAACUGAGACACGGUCCAGACUCCUACGGGAGGCAGCAGUGGGGAAUAUUGCACAAUGGGCGAAAGCCUGAUGCAGCAACGCCGCGUGAGUGAUGAAGGCCUUCGGGUUGUAAAGCUCUGUCUUUUGGGACGAUAAUGACGGUACCAAAGGAGGAAGCCACGGCUAACUACGUGCCAGCCGCCGCUGUAACAC